CUACUCGGUCUUAACGUGUGGUGGCAAGAGCCGUGAGCAUAUGGCUGGAAGAUUUUAGGUCAGGUGCUCACCGGAGGCCCAGUCAGCUACGGCUAGGGUGCAUACCAGGCUUGUUCCGGGCUCCCUGGGGGAGGAGGCGGACUACAGGGGAGGCAACCCCUGAGACAUUCCAGGGCCCCAUAGGCCACCCCUUGCCAGAGGAGAGCGGAUAGACUCCUGGCAUGCUCCAUCAAAUUAUUCUUCAAAGUCCCUGGUCCUGCUCUGCAGAGAAGAUUUUAGGGAAAAAGACUCCUCCGAGCUGCCUGGACCAAAUUUAAAACCACACCAUAGCUCUUGUUGACAAAAAAUAAAUCUGUGCCUCCAAACAUUCUCUGGCCUGAUAGUUGAACUUCAGCCUCAGGAUGCUGGCGAUGGUUGAGUCCUGAAUAAUCAAGAGUCUUGUGAGAAAGUAUUUUCUUCUGAUGCAAGAGAAAGUGUAAACACCCUCAAGUGUUCAGUUACCUGCCUUUGUGGACAACAGAAAAUUAAAACAUAACAAAACUUUGCUUUCUUUCUAUACAAAGCAACAACUAAUGAAUUGAAAUUAAACACAUGCAAAUCAUUAGACAUAAUUGAGCCAAUACAAAAUUGGUUCUGGUAGAAACUUAUGUCAUAUUUUACAGAAUGAAAUUGAAAAGAAUAAAGAUACCAUUGUGUAUGAGGAAUUUUUGAAAACUACUGCUGUUUAGAGGAGGAAAUGAAAAUAAGGCUGUAACAUCCUCUCAGUGUCAUCUGUUAAGAGAAUUGACCUUUAACUCAUGGCAGGUGAGAAAUGGCUGAGACUCAGGCUAAGACACUUCUAAACACACACACACAUCGUCUCCUUGCUACUCUGGGUUUAACCUCAACCCCAGACCUCAUUUUAGAAAGUCAAGAGACAACAGCCAGAAGCAAGCAAACAAAUGUGUAGAGAGUUAAAGAGUAGAGUUUUCUGUCUCUUCUGAUGGAGAGUUUUGAAUUUAUAUUCAAGAGCAUGAUUUCCACAGAGAGAGAAACACACCCACCAUCUACUAAUGAGCUUAACCGGGGGCAUGAAUGCCAGAGAGCCAGCUCAUUUGGUUACAGGAAUCAUUUGGACUUGGUACUGUCAAUUCAUGUCACUUAAAGCCAAACAGUGAAUAUAACGUUAAUGUGCUCUCUCUUCUCCCAUCCAUGGUUAUGUUCAUUGCUUACUGAAUACCUAUUAUAAAUAAAGUUAUGAAUAUGUAACCUCUGGGAAAAAUUCCACAAUAAUAUUGACCAGUUUGCAAUGUAAAUUACAUUGCUUAUAAUGGAAUACCAUCAAAUUCACAAAGCAAUUGACCCAGCACUAUCAAUGACAUCUUUCCAGUACAUGCCCUCCCGUCCUUGCAUUAUGUAACACCUUUAAUGGCAUGGCUCACCACUACAACCUUGGGGCCAUCACUCAUCUCUUGUUUAUUUACUUCAUUUUAAUGAAUGCCAGAACUGAAGGGGAUUUUAUAUGCCUAGGACUGAAAGUACUGUCCCUGCUUAAUGGAAUAAUACAAAAUCUGUACGAUUCAUGGCCCUGACUUUUAGACAGAUGAAGUAGAGUGGGGAGGAUGAAUAGAAAAUAAGUUUUUGUUUUUUUAGAACAAAGCAAAAAACAUUUUAAAAAGAAAAGACAUUAUAUCUUUCCGUUUUGUUUUGGUUUGUUUGGAAAUACCUGUUUCAAUAGUUAAACAUGCAGCAGUUAAAGCUCAUGAAAUAAAAUAUAAAAAAGAAAAUGAAUGUAAACAUUUUCUGAGGACUGCUCUUUAUAGAUUUUAAUGUGAUGUUACCCUCUAUUUAAGCAUAUGCUUGUAAGUGCACUGACUCAGGGUAUAUUGGAUGUGUCAGAAUGUGGAGUUUUAAUAACUAGGAAAAAAUCUCAAAUAAACUUGACUGUUAGACAAGAACAAAAAUGUCAUUCUUUUUGCAGCUAGAUUUUAAUACAUCCUGGAGUGCUGGAAAUCAAUAUCAAAUCCCAGGAUCCUUCUGCUGAGAUAUUCAAAAUGUUCUUUCUAAUGGGAGUCAUAUCAGAAAAAAAGGCAGAUAUAACCUAGGGCCAAGCAGUUCACACAAGAGCUGGAAAGAGCUUUGCUGAAAUCUAAACAUACCUUGUAUCUUUAAAUAACAAAACAUUUUCUUCAUCAUUUUAACAAACACUGUAACCGUUUUUCAGAACUUGAAAGCCCAAUAGGAAGGUAAGACAAUUUUGGAGAAAUUAUUUUCUCUUGUUUAGUAAUUAUCAUUAAUGAAAGAAAGAUUUCUUAAAUACUAAUAAAUCAGAGCUGAAUUGACUGACCAUGCAUCCAAAUUGCUGCAUUAUUCACACUGGAAUUACUCCAAAGAUUAGCUGCAAAUUGCCCUCUAAAUUGAAUUUAUGGUUUCAUUUUUCAUAACUACUGUGUUGUGACAGAUGAAAGGAAUCUGAGAGGAAAAUGACAGCAAUGGACCCAAUUUCUUAGUGCACUAUCUGUAAGAUAGGAGCCAAACUGUCUUUAUAAUUUCUUUUGGCAAGUGCAAAAACCUGGUAAGCUGAAAUUCAAGAUUUUGUACCCUAAGUUCCCCUCCAGGGAGGGGAAAGGUCAACAUUGUAUUUUUGCCAAGUGGAAACUAGUCAAAUCAAUAUCUGUGGAAGACAUUCACAUGUAUGAUUCAAUUGUUUUGUCUAUUACACCACUUUGAUUUGAUCCUCACAAUGAUACCAUGGAAUAGGUAAUCACACGCCCACUUAGGAGAAAGGAAGAGUAGGGAUGAGUAAUCUGCCUUAGUCUGGACUUAUGGGAGACCUAUCUUCAAAUCCCAUGCCUAGGAGCUCCUGCCACACCCGCUCCCAGGAAGGGCUACUGCUUUGAUUACCAAUUCAGAUCUAUUAAUUUUCUGUUUAGCGGGAUCUCUCGUAGUUUCCUUUGCAUCAAAGAAAACAAAAAUCAUUACAGUCCAAGUUAGAGGGAAAAGCAAAUCAACUCUAAAAACUGGGCAUCAUAAACAUGCCUAAAUUGUUGAUAACAACUGUUUUUAGACAAUUAGUGAAAGGCUGAAACAAAACAGGUGCUUCCAGAUCAGAGAGACAGUAAAGGCCUGUAUAUGAGAUAGAUAACAUGUUGCAAUACAGAGAUGCGAAGACAAUUUUGUUAGCCUUUAAAUUGGAUUUGUAUAGUCCGGGCCUCUUGGGUUAGAAAUGAUUGAAAACAAAUAUUGGGCUGGAGUUAGUGACAAGUGCAGUUGAUGCCUUCAGGUUUAUAAGACACCAGUAUGUGAACAUAUGCUCCGUUUGUAAGACAAAUGAUUAGGCAGCCUCCCACAGCUUUCUGUUUCUGAAGGUUUAGAAAGUAUUGCCAUUUUUCUUCUGUAACGGCCUUAGGAAUUCUCUCCUUUAUCAGACUAGCUCUUGGAUAACAUACAGAAAGCCAGGCAUUUGAGGCAGAAGAGCAAAUUAAUGUGUAAUUAUUUACAAAUAAGCAUUUUCACCCUGCACAUGUUAAUAAAUAAUUUAUGUGAUCUUUUUAGAUGACAGAAGUAAUACCAGUGAGAAGGAAAUUGCAAAGCUCUGGAUCUCUAGCUAAAUCUGCUUGCAUCCUUUAACUUUUUAAUCUAAUAACUUUAUUACUGAUUUUAUAAUGUAUCUUUUCUUGGAACAUAUGAUUUAACCUUUUUCUCUUUUGAAUAUUAUGUUUAAUAUUUUUCACUUCUUCUGGUGUAACAAAAACUUUCAGCUCUAUAUGCUUAUUUUCACUCUAGCUAGUGUCACAUGCUGACUUUGUCUCACCAAACUGACCCAUUUGUGUUUUGCCUUUAUUUUCCAUUAAACUACAGUGUUUAUAUUCAAA